rnacentral:rRNA from 1 species
CCUACGGGAGGCAGCAGUGAGGAAUAUUGGUCAAUGGACGAGAGUCUGAACCAGCCAAGUAGCGUGAAGGAUGACUGCCCUAUGGGUUGUAAACUUCUUUUAUAUGGGAAUAAAAUGUUCCACGUGUGGGAUUUUGUAUGUACCAUAUGAAUAAGGAUCGGCUAACUCCGUGCCAGCCGCCGCGGUAAAACGGAGGAUCCGAGCGUUAUCCGGAUUUAUUGGGGUUAAAGGGGGCGUAGGUGGAUUGUUAAGGCAGUUGUGAAAGUUUGCGGCUCAACCGUAAAAUUGCAGUUGAAACUGGCAGUCUUGAGUACAGUAGAGGUGGGCGGAAUUCGUGGUGUAGCGGUGAAAUGCUUAGAUAUCACGAAGAACUCCGAUUGCGAAGGCAGCUCACUGGACUGCAACUGACACUGAGGCUCGAAAGUGUGGGUAUCAAACAGGAUUAGAUACCCCGGUAGUC